CUAGUACUCAGAUGGGUGACCACUGUGGAAUCCUCAGUGUUGUGUGUUUUU
rnacentral:rRNA from 2 species